AGAGUUUGAUCCUGGCUCAGAAUCAACGCUGGCGGCGUGCCUAACACAUGCAAGUCGAACGAGAAAGUGGAGCAAUCCAUGAGUAAAGUGGCGACCGGGUGAGUAACACGUGACUAACCUACCUUCGAAUGGGGAAUAACUCCGGGAAACCGGGGCUAAUACCGCAUAACACCGCAAGGUCAAAGCAGCAAUGCGUUUGAGGAGGGGGUCGCGGCUGAUUAGCUAGUUGGUAGGGUAAUGGCCUACCAAGGCUGAGAUCGGUAUCCGGCCUGAGAGGGCGCACGGACACACUGGAACUGAAACACGGUCCAGACUCCUACGGGAGGCAGCAGUGGGGAAUUUUGCGCAAUGGGGGAAACCCUGACGCAGCAACGCCGCGUGGAGGAUGAAGUCCCUUGGGACGUAAACUCCUUUCGACCGGGAAGAUACUGACGGUACCGGAUGAAGAAGCACCGGCUAACUCUGUGCCAGCAGCCGCGGUAAU
rnacentral:rRNA from 1 species